GGCGACGCCACACACGGGCGAGCGAGGUUAUUUAAAAAUGGCGGACGCGUCGUCUUCCGACACUACCUCGGACUGCUGCAAUGAGUGUUUCUCUGACAUUACGUCGGAAAAGUCCGAAUGCGUCGUGGUGGGACGCAAGCCGUGCCUGUCGCAUCGUCGCAGCAAGCGGAACUUCCUGCAGAAGCUGAUGAUACGGGAGAUGAGAGGAUGUCUGUCAGCGCACAAUUACGCCUCAGAGGAGAGAUUGUUUACAUCUGUACCCAAGUGGCGGCAUUUGCCUCUUCUACACAUAAUCCCGAAGUCUGCACUUGAAGCAGGACAUAUUGUUAUGGGAUUGACGCAAUGUGGCCAGUUUCUGCUCACGUAUACGUACACGUUGGACGUCAGCAGCAAUACGUCUUUGUACAAAUAUCUGUUGCACUGGUGGGCCUUCACGCCCAAUCGUGUAGCUCGCAAAGUUGCCGAAGUUACGUUGUUCGGCAAUUAUUCGAUUUGUAGAGAAUUAAGCAUAGUUAUAUCGCAAUGGCCAAUGGAGCGGAAUAAACUUGUAAUUCACGGUCUCUGUACAAAUUUCUUACAAUUUCAACCGACUGAUAGAGCGUAUUUAACUAUAACCACAGUACCAUCUCUCGACCACUGUAAAGAUUGCUUGAAAAUUGCCGCGUCGUACGAAGAAGAAGGUGAAGAGUUGGCCGCAAAUUGGGAUGGUUGCGUACGAUGUAAUUGCUUACAACAUGGCCUUACGGUUCACACGACUUAUGAAGUCAUCUCGCCGUAUCCGAAGUUUCGCGCCACAGUGUGCCUGAAUUAUUGGAAUCACGUUGUGGUUAACACAGGAAACUUCUUACAUGUUCUCAGGGUAGAUUUAAAUAUACCUAAAUCGAAGAAUCAGAGAGCGUGCGAUAAACAGGACGGCGUCAUACAUGACUCCGUAGUUCCGGACACGAUUCCGCUUGACAUGAGCGACGUUGAGGAGACGGACUACUCGACGAGGACGGAACGUUACGAGAGUUCGGACGAGAAAGUGAGCACGCCAGAAUGCGUCGAUCGAUCUCCAAAAUGCGAAUCUAGCCUGGAGCACGACUUUUUAGAUGAGCCAAUUAAGUUAGACGAUAAGCUAGGACGCGAUUUGCCAUUAAAUACCUCAAGCAGUAAUCAAAGCGACUAUGUCUGUGAUAUAAAUAAUAAGUCUCCGGCUGCAAUCGCUUUAAACAUUAAAUUGUGCGAAUGUUCGGACCUGGCUGAAUGCAAGUGUCGGAAUAACAGCAGCGGCAGUCCGAUUUCGCUGCCAGUUGGUGUUGAGCAGACGGCCAUUUCGGUGCGGGACAAGAUUCUGCAGGAUUUCUGCGAGGACACGUCACAGGAACUCAACAUCGGCAGUGAUCUUAUCACGCUGGUGAAACAUCCGUCGUGCUCACCGCGCUCAACGCCGCAGAGACUGCCUGCCGAUCUUAAGGCGAUGACCACAUGGUCCUCGCCGAUACUUACUCCGCCGUCGGACAUCCUGCGCACUCGCAAUUCGGAAUCUAGUCACAGAAUCCAAGUCCAGCGUAAUAGCAGUAGCAGCCAGCAACGUUCGAGCUCGCCACAACCUGGUGCCUCGCAACAGGACAACUCCGUGGCUUCCAUAAAUUCACCAUUGCAAUCCGUGUCGAUCAGUCCCUCGUCUUCGUACUCAGCUCGUUUAAUGUCACCGCCAAUUGCCCGUUCGUUUCGCUAUCCAAGUCCGCGCAAGAGAUCGAAUCUACACUCACCUCCGCCUAUUCCGGCUCAGUCGACCAGGACGACGAGAGCAACGCACAAGCUUAUUCUUGAAGCGGAAAAGGCAUACGAGUUCACUGACGAGGUGCAGGAGACGACCUGCGAGAAACUCAGCUCGUUCAGGAAGCGCCGGCUUGCUGACAAGAAAUACGAGUUUUGCGACGAGACGGAGGACGCGGAGAACAUAGUUCCUUUCAAACACAUACGCGAUCAGUUCAGACAUCGCGGUACCUGCUCCAUACAUCAGAUUCCCUCCUCGCCUGCGAUGUCACCGGUUCUGCCGAACGGCCGUAGGCACUGGGUCGACUCAGAUCAGAGCGAACCGGACGAAUUGAAUCUUGCUCAAGAUAUUAGUAUAUCCAAUGACUUGUCGAGUACUGAAUCAGCUGAGAAAAGUGUACUACGACCGUUGAACCAGAAUCAACUGUCUAACGGGAGUGUGCACAGAGAUCGUGUCGGCAAGUGCUGCUCGAAUUUCUCUCCGCUGGUUCCUCGAAAUAACUUGCAAUACCCUCUGAUAAAGUGCACUGCACAUUUUAAACGGAGCUACAUAGAGCUCGACGACGAGAUGAUUUCGGUGAUCACAGAUGUAGAAGACGAAGAAACAGGAGGGUACGUAAGUUAUCAAUGUGUACUUCCGAUGCUCGUGCAUGGCUCCGGAUAUGUUCAAAUGCAGAUGAUCAGCAAUAGCAAAGCGGAAAAACUGAUAGUGCCAUGCGUGUCUAUAACACAAUUGAGUUUUGAUAUCGAGACUUUUUCUCAUCACAUAGCAGAUUGGAUCUGCGCGAGAUUUAAGAAAAAAUAUUGGCAUUGCAGCGAUUAUGAUAUCGAAAUAAUUGACGUGUGUGCGCUUAGCGGCGACAUUAUAUGUUUGCACAUAAUGAAGAUCCAAGCAAUGCGCAAGAGAGGAAAUUAUACGAGGUCGGAUGUAAAUUCACGUGGAACAUCGACACGAGCCAGUACAGGAUAACGGAUGUGUUGCCAAUGGAGGAAGUAAAGCCGGAAUCUUGGAAACCGACACUCACAAACAUACCGAAUUUUCGUAGCCAGUUAUGGAAUCCGACCCGUCGUUUAGCUACGCAGUUACGAGAAAAAAUUCAACAACCAUACGCGCAUACAGUACGUUUCCUUCAUAACGAGAUGAGCUUAGCAGGCGAGACUAUAACCAAGCUCAUCGAUCUGGACAAUCUAGUGCAGUUCUACAUAACGCCGAUGGAAUGUGAUGUGGAACGUACGAACGACGCCUUAAUGGAGUGAGGAAAAACAGAGGAGCCAUUAUCGCAUAUUUCAUUGCAAACAAUAAUUUAUUGAUACAAAUUCCGCCAUUUUUGCCAACUUGCCAAGCAGCGGUAUAUAACUUAUAGAAAUGUACUCCGCAUUGUUAACAGUUGCAAAGAGUAUCUUCCCUUUCGAGCAUAAAUAAUACACAAAAGAGUGUGUAAGCCAUAUAGGACUCUUGCUACUUUUUUUUGCUAAACGGAAUCGAUUCAGUGCGUGGUGCGACUUGUUCAUAACUUAGAGGCAUAGGCUAAAGGUACUAAUUAAUGAUACAACGAAGCUCUUGCAAGUUUUGCUCCGAUUUGUAAAAUUUACCAGUGCUGUAUACUAUACAUUGACGCUAUCUACGCUAUCAUGGUAACUGCUGUACUUUGGUAAUUAGUAGAUAUAUAGAUGACUAAACUGAUUGUCAAUAAAUGUAUUGUAAUGUGAUUCAAAGUAAGAGAAAGAUAGAGAGAAGGGAAUAUGGCGAUAAACUGCCUUGAUAUACUUUGGUCCCCAAAAUUAACUGAUAAUUUAAACUUCUAAAGAAGAAA